rnacentral:rRNA from 1 species
GAUGAACGCUGGCGGCGUGCCUAAUACAUGCAAGUCGAACGAACAGACGAGGAGCUUGCUGGUCUGAGGUUAGGGGCGGCCGGGUGAGUAACACGUGGAUAACAUCCUUAUACGACUUGGAUAAUAACGGGAUACCGGAGCUACUACCGCAGAAUAUAUUGAACCUGAUGGUUGAUUGGUGAGAGACGGUUUUUGUUUCGCUUAUAGAUGGGUUCGCGGCGCAUUAGCUGGUUGGUGAGGUGACGGCGUACCAAGGCGACGAUGCGUAGCCGGCCUGAGAGGGUGGUCGGCGACACUGGAACUGAGGAACGGUCCAGACUCCUACGAGAGGCAGCAGUAGGGAAUAUUCCGGAAUGGGGGGAAGCCGGACGGAGCAACGCCGCGUGAGUGAUGAAGGUCUUCGGAUCGUAAAGAUCUGUUUUUAGGGAUGAACAAAUGUGUAAGUAACUAUGCACGUCUUGACGGUACCUGAUCAGAAAGCCACGGCUAACUACGUG